rnacentral:rRNA from 1 species
AUUGAACGCUGGCGGCGUGCUUAACACAUGCAAGUCGUGCGGUAACAGGCGUAGCAAUACGUGCUGACGAGCGGCGAACGGGUGCGUAAUACAUGGGAAUCUGCCCUUUAGUGGGGAAUAACCCGGCGAAAGCCGGGCUAAUGCCGCAUAAGAUCUUCGGAUGAAAGCGGGGGAUCGUAAGACCUCGCGCUGAUGGAUGAGCCCAUGCCGGAUUAGCAGUUGGUGAGGUAACGGCUCACCAAGGCGACGAUCCGUAGCUGGUCUGAGAGGACGGCCAGCCACACUGGGACUGAGACACGGCCCAGACUCCUACGGGAGGCAGCAGUGGGGAAUAUUGGACAAGUGGGGAAACCCUGAUCCAGCGACGCCGCGUGUGUGAAGAAGGCCUGGCGGGUUGUAAAGC